AUAGGUCUGGAUAGGUCUGGAUAGUUGGAUAGGUCUGGAUAGUUGGAUAGGUCUGGAUAGUUGGAUAGGUCUGGAUAGGGCUGGAUAGUUGGAUAGGUGGAUAGGUCUGGAUAGGUCUGGAUAGUUGGAUAGGUCUGGGUAGUUGGAUAGGUCUGGAUAGUUGGAUAGUUGGAUAGGUCUGGAUAGUUGGAUAGAUUUGGAUAGGUCUGGAUAGGUCUGGAUAGUUGGGUAGGUCUGGAUAGUUGGAUAGAUCUGGAUAGUUGGAUAGGUCUGGAUAGUUGGAUAGGUCUGGAUAGUUGGAUAGGUCUGGAUAGUUGGAUAGGUCUGGAUAGUUGGAUAGGUCUGGAUAGGUGGAUAGGUCUGGAUAGUUGGA